GCUUUGUGUCCAGCUGGUAGAGCAUGAGACUCUUAAUCUCAGGGUCAUGGCCUCAAGCCCCAUGUUGGGCA